GGCACCAUUCCUUAUCAUCACGACGUUUCUCUUCCUCCAAAACUGUCCUGAUCAUUUAGUCCGUGCCGAGAGGAACCACCAUGAGCAGACGAAUUCGCUAGCGGUACCUGCCUAUAAACGCUCUACCGGGUUGCUGUUAGAUAGAAUCUGCUUACAUAU
rnacentral:snoRNA from 1 species